GCUAUUACAGCUGCCACUGAAGUUUGGAACUCUGCAGUGUGGAAAACACUGCGCUGGCUGUGGAUGUUGUUCAGCCCAGUCUCCUGAUGAGGGUUCAGCUUGGAGACAGUGUGACCCUGACAUGCUUCUGUUCAGAAGAAACAACUUUUGUUGCUUGGUUCAAGCAAGCUGUUGGUCAGAAGCCCCAGCUCAUGGUGAAGGCACUUAAUCUUUUAUCUGGUGAAUUUUACAAGGAAUAUAAAAACAUAAAACGUUACUCCUUACAGAAUGCAGAGGGGAGUUUUAACCUCAGUAUUUCCAACACGGAGCCGUCAGAUUCUGCAGUGUAUUAUUGCAUUGCUGGGUUCUAUGAUGAGAUCGCAUUUGGAAAUGGAACCUUUGUCAUAAUCACAGUGACCUGUACACACUGUGCAGAUAGGAAAAACAAUGAUGUAUCGAAUGUGGAAUGGUCACGUAAGCAGUGCCAUGACGAGGACACACUGAAUUACGCUGCCCUGAACCUUAAGAACCCAAAACCCAGGAGACAGAAGAAAGACGGGAAUAAUGACACUCUGUAUUCUGACCUCCGCUACAGGGAUUAUGAAUAAAAAUGCUUCUCAUUCAUGUUAGUUGUCACGCCCCGCUCCGUCCGCUCCCGAUGUGUGCCACGCCCACCUCAUUACCUCCUGUUUCGCCCUAAGAGUUCCCACCUGUAGCUCGUUCUGUUACCUAGUCUUGUGUAUUUAGUCCGAGUCUCAGUCUGUAUUCCCCAGAUCUGUCAUCGUUGUAUGGUCCGUCGUUG